UACGGAGGGUGCAAGCGUUAUCCGGAUUUACUGGGUUUAAAGGGUGUGUAGGCGGACUUUUAAGUCAGCGGUGAAAUCUCCGGGCUCAACCCGGAAACUGCCAUUGAUACUAUUAGUCUUGAAUGUUGUUGAGGUGGGCGGAACGGGUCAUGUCGCGGUGAAAUGCAUAGAUAUGACCCGGAACACCGAUUGCGAAGGCAGCCCACUAAGCAACUAUUGACGCUGAGGCACGAAAGCGUGGGGAUCAAACAGG
rnacentral:rRNA from 1 species